rnacentral:rRNA from 1 species
GCUCAGAUUGAACGCUGGCGGCAGGCCUAACACAUGCAAGUCGAACGGUAACAGGAAGAAGCUUGCUUCUUUGCUGACGAGUGGCGGACGGGUGAGUAAUGUCUGGGAAACUGCCUGAUGGAGGGGGAUAACUACUGGAGACGGUAGCUAAUACCGCAUAACGUCGCAAGACCAAAGAGGGGGACCUUCGGGCCUCUUGCCAUCGGAUGUGCCCAGAUGGGAUUAGCUAGUAGGUGGGGUAAAGGCUCACCUAGGCGACGAUCCCUAGCUGGUCUGAGAGGAUGACCAGCCACACUGGAACUGAGACACGGUCCAGACUCCUACGGGAGGCAGCAGUGGGGAAUAUUGCACAAUGGGCGCAAGCCUGAUGCAGCCAUGCCGCGUGUAUGAAGAAGGCCUUCGGGUUGUAAAGUACUUUCAGCGGGGAGGAAGGGAGUAAAGUUAAUACCUUUGCUCAUUGACGUUACCCGCAGAAGAAGCACCGGCUAACUCCGUGCCAGCAGCCGCGGUAAUACGGAGGGUGCAAGCGUUAAUCGGAAUUACUGGGCGUAAAGCGCACGCAGGCGGUUUGUUAAGUCAGAUGUGAAAUCCCCGGGCUCAACCUGGGAACUGCAUCUGAUACUGGCAAGCUUGAGUCUCGUAGAGGGGGGUAGAAUUCCAGGUGUAGCGGUGAAAUGCGUAGAGAUCUGGAGGAAUACCGGUGGCGAAGGCGGCCCCCUGGACGAAGACUGACGCUCAGGUGCGAAAGCGUGGGGAGCAAAACAGGAUUAGAUACCCUGGUAGUCCACGCCCGUAAACGAUGUCGACUUGGAGGUUGUGCCCUUGAGGCGUGGCUUCCGGAAGCUAACGCGUUAAGGUCGACGGCCUGGGGAGUACGACCGCAAGGUUAAAACUCAAAUGAAUUGACGGGGGCCCGCACAAGCGGUGGAGCAUGUGGUUUAAUUCGAUGCAACGCGAAGAACCUUACCUGGUCUUGACAUCCACAGAACUUUCCAGAGAUGGAUUGGUGCCUUCGGGAACUGUGAGACAGGUGCUGCAUGGCUGUCGUCAGCUCGUGUUGUGAAAUGUUGGGUUAAGUCCCGCAACGAGCGCAACCCUUAUCCUUUGUUGCCAGCGGUCCGGCCGGGAACUCAAAGGAGACUGCCAGUGAUAAACUGGAGGAAGGUGGGGAUGACGUCAAGUCAUCAUGGCCCUUACGACCAGGGCUACACACGUGCUACAAUGGCGCAUACAAAGAGAAGCGACCUCGCGAGAGCAAGCGGACCUCAUAAAGUGCGUCGUAGUCCGGAUUGGAGUCUGCAACUCGACUCCAUGAAGUCGGAAUCGCUAGUAAUCGUGGAUCAGAAUGCCACGGUGAAUACGUUCCCGGGCCUUGUACACACCGCCCGUCACACCAUGGGAGUGGGUUGCAAAAGAAGUAGGUAGCUUAACCUUCGGGAGGGCGCUUACCACUUUGUGAUUCAUG